rnacentral:rRNA from 1 species
UACGAAGGGGGCUAGCGUUGCUCGGAAUCACUGGGCGUAAAGCGCACGUAGGCGGGUCGUUAAGUCGGGGGUGAAAUCCUGGAGCUCAACUCCAGAACUGCCUUCGAUACUGGCGAUCUUGGAGUCCGGGAGAGGUGGGUGGAACUGCGAGUGUAGAGGUGAAAUUCGUAGAUAUUCGCAAGAACACCAGUGGCGAAGGCGGCUCACUGGCCCGGUACUGACGCUGAGGUGCGAAAGCGUGGGGAGCAAACAG